rnacentral:rRNA from 1 species
AUUUUUUUAACGGGCAUUUAAUGAAAAUCUUGAUGAAAAAAUUGAGGACGUCACGCUACGAAAGGUUAUAGGGAGGCAUUAGCUUGUGAUCUGUAAAUAUCCUAAAUAAGAAAACUAAAUAAUAUUUUUAGAAAGAACGAGAAUUGAAUCAUCUUAGUAUCGUUUUAGAAAAUCAAACGAGAUAUCGUUAGUAACGGUGAGUGAAAACGAAUAAAGCUUAACUUUUACUUUUAUUUAUAAAUUUACCAAAGAAGGUAUUAGUCCUGUAAUAAAUUAAAGGUAUUAGAAAUAUAAGUAAUAUGAAAAUUUGUAUGAAAAAAGGAGAACCACCUUCUAAGCUUUUUAAAUUUUUUCAAUCGAUAGUAAAUGAGUACUGUGAAGGAAAGAUGGAAAGUUCCGAAAGGAUUUAAAAUUGAAAUUGAAUGCUUAUAAUUUUUCGAAGUUUAAUUAAAAAUAACGAAGUGCCUUUUGCAUAAUGAGUCAGUAAGUUAAUAAAUAUAGCAAGUUUAAAUAUAUAUAUGUAAACUAAUUAAAGUUAUGUUUAUUAGACCUGAAGCCAAGUGAUCUAGUUGCGAGCAGGUUAAGAAUUCAUUAACAUGUUUUUAAGGACUGAACUCACAUAUGUAGCAAAAUAUGGAGAUGACUUGUAGCUAGGAGUGAAAGGCUAAUCAAACUUGGCGAUAGCCGGUUUUUCACGAAAUGUAUUUUAGUACAGUAUUAAUAAAAUAUAAAUUGUAGGUAGAGCACAAACUAAAUAAAGGGGUUUAAACGCUUACUAAAUUUAAUUUAACUCCGAACUAUAAUUUAAUAAUAUUAAUAAACAGUCUUUAAGCGAUAAGGUUUAGAGACAAGAGGAAAACAAUCCAGAUCGUAUACUAAGAUCUCGAAAUUAUAAUUUAGUGAAGAAGCUCAUAUUAAAGAAUCAAAUAAUAAAUUAGAUAGGCUUAGAAGCAGUCUUUCAUUAGAGAAAGCGUUUUAGCUCAUUAUUUUAUCUUUUAUGAUCGAAAAUAAAGGAGACUGAAAUUAUAUAUCGAAGUAACGAAUUAAAAUUUAAUGGUAGUGAAACGUUCUGUAAUUUAUUUAUUUAUUGAAAAAUAAAUAAAUUAAAUCAGAAUUGCUAAUGCUGACAUGAGUAGCGAAAACUAUGUUAAUAAAUCAUAGUCACUUUAUGUUUAAGGGUUUCAAUGUAAUUUUAAAUUCAUUGAGUUAGUCGGUUCUUAAAAGGAGGAUGAAAAUUGUACUUGAUAGAAAUUUUAUAAAACCUAUUAUAUGUGAAUAAAAAUUCAUGAAAAAAAAUAAAAUAAACUAGAUUUGAUAUUUAUAAGGUGUAAAUCUAAUUAAUUUAUUUUCCGAGAAAAAAUUAUAAUAAUUAAAGACCGUACCUAAUCCGACACAGGUAAACUUAUCGAAAAGAUUAAAGUGAAUGAAAGAAUCAUAUUAAAGGAACUCGGCAAAUUAACUCUGUACGUUCGCAAUAAAGAGAGCCUUAAUUAAGGUAGCAUUAAAUAGAAAGCAACGACUGGUUAUCAAAACCACAGGACUCUGCAAAUUUAAUAAAAAAGUAUAGAGUCUGACACCUGCCCAGUACCUAAAAUAGACAAAUUUUAGUUAAAGCUAAAAUUUUAACUUUAGGUAAACGGCGGUUCUAACUAUAAGAAUCCUUAGGUAGCGAAAUUCCUUGGCGGGUAAAUUCCGUCCUGCAUGAAUGGUGUCACGAUUGCUUUACUGUCUCUAAUAUGAAUUCAGCGAAAUUACAAAACCUAUGAAAAUGUAGGUUACUUGCAGUAAGACGGAAAGACCCUAGAUCCUUUACUCUAGUUUUAUAUUGUAAAAAAUCAUGUUAUUAUAUAGAAUAGGUGGAAGUUAAAAACGAUGGUGAAAUACCACUUUAUAACGUUAUAAUUUACUUAAUUUAUUUAAAAAUAAAGACAGUAUGAAAGUGAGAGUUUACUUGGGACGAGUGUCUCCUAAAAUGUAACGGAGAUGUACGAAGGUAAUUUACAAUUAUUAAUUAGAUAAUGAAGCGUAUAAUGACAAAAAAUUACUUGACAAUAAAAUUGAUAAAUUGAAUUGGGAUGUAAGUCAGUCAUAGUGACCCAAUAUUUAAGUGUGGAAUUGAUAUUGUUCAACAGAUAAAAGGAACUCUAGGGAUAACAGAUUCAUCGUGAUUGAGAGUUCAUAUUGAUGUCACGGUUUGAUACCUCGAUGUCGACUCAUCUUAUCCUGAAAUUGAAGUAGAUUUCAAGGGUCUAGUUGUUCGCUAGUGAAAAAGGUACGUGAGUUGGGUUCAGAACGUCGUGAGACAGUUCGGUCCCUAUCUACUGUAAGAUUUUGAAAAAUAAAAAAUUUAUUUCUAGUACGAGAGGAUCGAAAUAUUUUAACCACUGGUGUAUUGAUUGUUAUGCCUAAAGCAUUGUCAAUUAGCUAAGUUAAUUUUGUAUGUAUGUACUGAAGGAAUCAAAAGUACUAAAACUCUUUUUUAAUUUUUCGAGAAUAAUCUAAAAGAUAAUUAGAUAGAUCGGUUUAAAGAAUAAAUUUAGUAAUAAAUAUAUUCUCAUAAAUACGAAAAUUAUUCAAUAAAAAUUU